rnacentral:lncRNA from 1 species
GGUGUGUGCAGGGGCAGAAUGUGCCAGAAUGCACCAGAAUGUGCUGGCUCUCACCUUGCCCAGCUGCCGCUGAGAAAAACAAAGCACAAAGAGGGACCUGAAGUAUCUCCUUCUCGGAAGCCUGAUAAGGGACUGGAGUGGUGGCCAGAGCCGUGGAAUCCAACAAGAGGAACAUUACGUGCCAUGUGGCAUGGGGGACCCCGAGGAGGCAAGGAGGCCUUCAGAAAGGAGUCUCCGGAGGCAGCCCAGCCGUGCAGACCCUGACGUUGGACAUACAGCCCAAGUUCUCCAUCUUUAUCCUGCAGAAAAAGUAACGUAUUUCCAGAGGGUUCCAUCAGAGGGGCGGUGAGAAGCUCGGACUCGCCUCCAGGAAGGGGUCCUGGGGUCCCUCCACGGAACAGUCCAGACGUGAACGUACGUCAUCAAAGGGAAAGGGUCUGGGUUCAGGCCCCGGGGCCCCGUGAGUUUGGCUGCAAAAUAAAUUGCCCAGACGAGAGAUUUUCA